UACGAAGGGUGCGAGCGUUGUUCGGAUUUACUGGGCGUAAAGGGCGCGCAGGCGGUCUUGUAAGUCAGGCGUGAAAGCCCCGGGCUUAACCUGGGAAUUGCGCUUGAUACUCUGAGACUGGAGUACGGGAGAGGAGAGUGGAAUUCCCAGUGUAGAGGUGAAAUUCGUAGAUAUUGGGAAGAACACCAGUGGCGAAGGCGGCUCUCUGGACCGUAACUGACGCUGAGGCGCGAAAGCGUGGGGAGCAAACAGG
rnacentral:rRNA from 1 species